AGUGAACGCUGGCGGUAGGCCUAACACAUGCAAGUCGAACGGCAGCACAGUAAGAGCUUGCUCUUACGGGUGGCGAGUGGCGGACGGGUGAGGAAUACAUCGGAAUCUACUUUUUCGUGGGGGAUAACGUAGGGAAACUUACGCUAAUACCGCAUACGACCUGCGGGUGAAAGCAGGGGAUCUUCGGACCUUGCGCGAUUGAAUGAGCCGAUGUCGGAUUAGCUAGUUGGCGGGGUAAAGGCCCACCAAGGCGACGAUCCGUAGCUGGUCUGAGAGGAUGAUCAGCCACACUGGAACUGAGACACGGUCCAGACUCCUACGGGAGGCAGCAGUGGGGAAUAUUGGACAAUGGGCGCAAGCCUGAUCCAGCCAUACCGCGUGGGUGAAGAAGGCCUUCGGGUUGUAAAGCCCUUUUGUUGGGAAAGAAAAGCAGCAGGUUAAUACCCCGCUGUUCUGACGGUACUCAAAGAAUAAGCACCGGCUAACUUCGUG
rnacentral:rRNA from 1 species